AAUCGGAGAAGAAAAGUAUUUACUAUGAUCUGCCUUUGUAGCUUUAAUUAGUACAUAAACUGACUACCAGAAAACCAAAGCCCGUAUAGUAGUUGCAUUGUAUCUUCAUGUGGAAAAUAACACAUUCAAGGAGUGUCUGAAGAGGAAUUGACCUUUCGACAAGAGGCUGACAAUUUUGAGAAAUCAUAAACAAUGUUUCCCGAAC
rnacentral:lncRNA from 1 species